UGGGCGUGACUUAGGAGGGAAAUCACCAGAAACCUGGCGGAGGUCGCGGGCUGGGAAAACGCCCUCUGCGCUAGGAGAGACCAGCUACGAUGCCUACCUCUGUGCCCCGCGGGGCGCCUUUCCUUCUCCUACCACCUUUACUGAUGCUGUCUGCUGUGCUGGCAGUGCCUGUGGACCGCGCAGCACCUCAUCAGGAGGACAACCAGGCCACUGAGACCCCGGACACAGGCCUGUACUACCAUCGGUACCUCCAGGAGGUCAUCAACGUGCUAGAGACAGAUGGGCACUUCCGGGAGAAGCUGCAAGCUGCCAACGCUGAGGACAUUAAGAGUGGAAAGCUGAGUCAAGAGCUGGACUUCGUCAGCCACAACGUCCGCACCAAGCUGGAUGAGCUCAAGCGACAGGAGGUAUCAAGGCUUCGGAUGCUGCUCAAGGCCAAGAUGGAUGCAAAGCAGGAGCCUAACUUGCAGGUGGACCACAUGAACCUUCUGAAGCAGUUUGAACACCUGGACCCUCAGAACCAGCACACGUUUGAGGCUCGGGACCUAGAGCUGCUGAUCCAGACGGCCACCCGAGACCUCGCCCAGUAUGACGCUGCACACCAUGAAGAGUUCAAACGCUACGAGAUGCUCAAGGAACAUGAGCGAAGACGUUACCUGGAGUCUCUGGGAGAGGAGCAGCGGAAGGAGGCUGAGAGGAAGCUACAAGAGCAGCAGCGCAGACACCGGGAACACCCCAAAGUCAAUGUUCCUGGCAGCCAAGCCCAGUUGAAGGAGGUGUGGGAGGAGCUAGAUGGAUUGGACCCCAACAGGUUCAACCCCAAGACCUUCUUCAUACUGCAUG
rnacentral:lncRNA from 1 species